rnacentral:rRNA from 1 species
UACGAAGGGGGCUAGCGUUGUUCGGAAUUACUGGGCGUAAAGCGUGCGCAGGCGGCUUCUCAAGUCAGGGGUGAAAGCCCAGAGCUCAACUCUGGAAUUGCCUUUGAGACUGAGUGGCUUGAGUACGAGAGAGGUGAGUGGAAUUCCCAGUGUAGAGGUGAAAUUCGUAGAUAUUGGGAAGAACACCGGUGGCGAAGGCGGCUCACUGGACCACAACUGACGCUGAGG